AUUGAACGCUGGCGGCAUGCUUUACACAUGCAAGUCGAACGGUAACAGGCCGCAAGGUGCUGACGAGUGGCGAACGGGUGAGUAAUGCAUCGGAACGUGCACAGUCGUGGGGGAUAACUACUCGAAAGAGUAGCUAAUACCGCAUACGAUCUAUGGAUGAAAGCGGGGGACCGUAAGGCCUCGCGCGAUUGGAGCGGCCGAUGUCAGAUUAGGUAGUUGGUGGGGUAAAGGCUCACCAAGCCAACGAUCUGUAGCUGGUCUGAGAGGACGACCAGCCACACUGGGACUGAGACACGGCCCAGACUCCUACGGGAGGCAGCAGUGGGGAAUUUUGGACAAUGGGCGCAAGCCUGAUCCAGCAAUGCCGCGUGCAGGAAGAAGGCCUUCGGGUUGUAAACUGCUUUUGUACGGAACGAAACGGCUCUGGUUAAUACCCGGGGCUAAUGACGGUACCGGAAGAAUAAGCACCGGCUAACUACGUG
rnacentral:rRNA from 1 species